GUGGUGUUCUAUCUGGUAUAGGUAGACUGGCUGUGGUAGUGGUCUUCUAUCUGGUAUAGGUAGACUGGCUGUGGUAGUGGUCUUCUAUCUGGUAUAGGUAGACUGGCUGUGGUAGUGGUCUUCUAUCUGGUAUAGGUAGACUGGCUGUGGUAGUGGUCUUCUAUCUGGUACAGGUAGACUGGCUGUGGUAGUGGUGUUCUAUCUGGUAUAGGUAGACUGGCUGUGGUAGUGGUCUUCUAUCUGGUAUAGGUAGACUGGCUGUGGUAGUGGUCUUCUAUCUGGUAUAGGUAGACUGGCUGUGGUAGUGGUCUUCUAUCUGGUAUAGGUAGACUGGCUGUGGUAGUGGUCUUCUAUCUGGUAUAGGUAGACUGGCUGUGGUAGUGGUCUUCUAUCUGGUAUAGGUAGACUGGCUGUGGUAGUGGUCUUCUAUCUGGUAUAGGUAGACUGGCUGUGGUAGUGGUCUUCUAUCUGGUAUAGGUAGACUGGCUGUGGUAGUGGUCUUCUAUCUGGUAUAGGUAGACUGGCUGUGGUAGUUGUAGGGUGAUUCAGUUCACUGUUCACGUGUCAGGUCUUCGAUGUGGCUUUUUCAUUAUGACAGUUCCUCUCCUGCCCAUUUAGUUGGAUUGGGGCUUUCAGGUAGACUCUGUGUUGGAGCUUGGUUCAACAGGCAGUGUUGAGCAAGCAGCGCCUAUCCAAUGUCUCCGGUCCAAACCAAUGGAGCAUUUGACAAACUGCCAGUUCUGCUCUGGCUUGUGGUGUGAAGGACAAGUUAAUGUCACAGCUUGUUCUCUCCGCUUGUGACCCCCUCUCUCUCUCUCUCUCUCUCGGUACCCAUGUGAUCCCACGUGGCUGAUUCCACUCCUGACAGUUGUUAUGAUUGAAAGCCAGAGACAAAGCACCCAGUGUUGUGGAACUUGACACAAAAGACACACGCACACCAAUCAGAGUUGGUGAGAUGUGGAACACACCCAGAGACGGCUCCAUUACCAGUGUUUUGUUGGAGACGAGCCUCAUUCUUUCUCUGCUGUGUUUUGGUUGGACUAGUUUCUUGUUGUGAGUCUCAGUGCUGAAUGGAUCACUGUGUUGGUUUGUAUUCUAUACCCAGUUACAGAGGGAAAUUAGAGGCAGGAACAGAGAAGGCUAGAUACGCCCUGGGCUGGUGGUCACAUUGACCAACUAAGGCCUUAAUGAAAAUACAGGGUGAAGGUGAAAUUUAGGCUACUUUGGUGAAUUUUUAAAGCAUGCAAGACAAGACAUUGUUAGAUGCAGAAUACCAAAACAAAUGAGCACGCUUCUGCCUUCCACUCCUCUCCCUCCUGCUGGCCUGCCUGCUCUCUCUCUCCC